rnacentral:rRNA from 1 species
CCUACGGGUGGCAGCAGUGGGGAAUAUUGCACAAUGGGCGGAAGCCUGAUGCAGCAACGCCGCGUGCGGGAUGACGGCCUUCGGGUUGUAAACCGCUUUCGCCUGUGACGAAGCGUGAGUGACGGUAAUGGGUAAAGAAGCACCGGCUAACUACGUGCCAGCAGCCGCGGUGAUACGUAGGGUGCG